GGCCGUCUAGCUCAGUUGGUUAGAGCGUCGUGCUAAUAUAUACCGCAGUCGUGCGUAUUACGCGAAGGUCUUGGGUUCGACCCCCACGAUGGCCA